rnacentral:pre_miRNA from 1 species
UGGACAGAUUCUUGUAUUUGACUGUAUUUACGGUGUAAAACAAUGGAUUACACUGUUUUUAAACGGAAAAUAUAUCAAUUAACAUAAUAGAUUCCU